rnacentral:rRNA from 1 species
GAUGAACGCUGGCGGCGUGCCUAAUACAUGCAAGUCGAGCGAACGGACGAGAAGCUUGCUUCUCUGAUGUUAGCGGCGGACGGGUGAGUAACACGUGGAUAACCUACCUAUAAGACUGGGAUAACUUCGGGAAACCGGAGCUAAUACCGGAUGAUAUUUUGAACCGCAUGGUUCAAAAGUGAAAGACGGUCUUGCUGUCACUUAUAGAUGGAUCCGCGCUGCAUUAGCUAGUUGGUAAGGUAACGGCUUACCAAGGCAACGAUGCAUAGCCGACCUGAGAGGGUGAUCGGCCACACUGGAACUGAGACACGGUCCAGACUCCUACGGGAGGCAGCAGUAGGGAAUCUUCCGCAAUGGGCGAAAGCCUGACGGAGCAACGCCGCGUGAGUGAUGAAGGUCUUCGGAUCGUAAAACUCUGUUAUUAGGGAAGAACAUAUGUGUAAGUAACUGUGCACAUCUUGACGGUACCUAAUCAGAAAGCCACGGCUAACUACGUGCCAGCAGCCGCGGUAAUACGUAGGUGGCAAGCGUUAUCCGGAAUUAUUGGGCGUAAAGCGCGCGUAGCGGUUUUUUAAGUCUGAUGUGAAAGCCCACGGCUCAACCGUGGAGGGUCAUUGGAAACUGGAAAACUUGAGUGCAGAAGAGGAAAGUGGAAUUCCAUGUGUAGCGGUGAAAUGCGCAGAGAUAUGGAGGAACACCAGUGGCGAAGGCGACUUUCUGGUCUGUAACUGACGCUGAUGUGCGAAAGCGUGGGGAUCAAACAGGAUUAGAUACCCUGGUAGUCCACGCCGUAAACGAUGAGUGCUAAGUGUUAGGGGGUUUCCGCCCCUUAGUGCUGCAGCUAACGCAUUAAGCACUCCGCCUGGGGAGUACGACCGCAAGGUUGAAACUCAAAGGAAUUGACGGGGACCCGCACAAGCGGUGGAGCAUGUGGUUUAAUUCGAAGCAACGCGAAGAACCUUACCAAAUCUUGACAUCCUUUGACAACUCUAGAGAUAGAGCCUUCCCCUUCGGGGGACAAAGUGACAGGUGGUGCAUGGUUGUCGUCAGCUCGUGUCGUGAGAUGUUGGGUUAAGUCCCGCAACGAGCGCAACCCUUAAGCUUAGUUGCCAUCAUUAAGUUGGGCACUCUAAGUUGACUGCCGGUGACAAGCCGGAGGAAGGUGGGGAUGACGUCAAAUCAUCAUGCCCCUUAUGAUUUGGGCUACACACGUGCUACAAUGGACAAUACAAAGGGCAGCGAAACCGCGAGGUCAAGCAAAUCCCAUAAAGUUGUUCUCAGUUCGGAUUGUAGUCUGCAACUCGACUACAUGAAGCUGGAAUCGCUAGUAAUCGUAGAUCAGCAUGCUACGGUGAAUACGUUCCCGGGUCU